rnacentral:rRNA from 1 species
AUUGAACGCUGGCGGCAUGCCUUACACAUGCAAGUCGAACGGGCUUUGGGGCUUGCUCCAAAGUUAGUGGCGAACGGGUGAGUAAUAUAUCGGAACGUACCCUAGAGUGGGGGAUAACUAGUCGAAGGACUGGCUAAUACCGCAUACGAUCUAAGGAUGAAAGUGGGGGACCGCAAGGCCUCAUGCUCAUGGAGCGGCCGAUAUCUGAUUAGCUAGUUGGUAGGGUAAAAGCCUACCAAGGCGACGAUCAGUAGCUGGUCUGAGAGGACGAUCAGCCACACUGGGACUGGGACACGGCCCAGACUCCUACGGGAGGCAGCAGUGGGGAAUUUUGGACAAUGGGGGAAACCCUGAUCCAGCAAUGCCGCGUGAGUGAAGAAGGCCUUCGGGUUGUAAAGCUCUUUUGUCAGGGAAGAAACGGUGGGGGCUAAUAUCCUCUGCUAAUGACGGUACCUGAAGAAUAAGCACCGGCUAACUACGUGCCAGCCGCCGCAGUAA